GAUGAAGAACGUAGCGAAAUGCGAUAAGUAAUGUGAAUUGCAGAAUUCAGUGAAUCAUCGAAUCUUUGAACGCACAUUGCGCCCGCCAGUAUUCUGGCGGGGAUGCCUGUUCGAGCGUCAUUACAACCCUCAGGCCCCCGGGCCUGGCGUUGGGGAUCGGCGGAGCCCCCCGUGGGCACACGCCGUCCCCCAAAUACAGUGGCGGUCCCGCCGCAGCUUCCAUCGCGUAGUAGCUAACACCUCGCGACUGGAGAGCGGCGCGGCCACGCCGUAAAACACCCAACUCUUCUGAAGUUGACCUCGAAUCAGGUAGGAAUACCCGCUGAACUUAAGCAUAUCAAUAAGCGGAGGA
rnacentral:misc_RNA from 1 species